AUUGAACGCUGGCGGCAGGCCUAACACAUGCAAGUCGAACGAGUGGCGGACGGGUGAGUAAUGUCUGGGAAACUGCCUGAUGGAGGGGGAUAACUACUGGAAACGGUAGCUAAUACCGCCUACCAUUAGAUGUGCCCAGAUGGGAUUAGCUAGGUGGGGGGGUCACGGCUCACCAAGGCGACGAUCCCUAGCGGGUCUGAGAGGAUGACCACCCACAGUGGAACGGAGACACGGUCCAGACACCUACGGGAGGCAGGCGUGGGGAAUAUUGCCCAAUGGGCGCAAGCCGUAUGCAGCCAUGGCGCGUGUAUGAUGAAGGCCUUCAGGUUGUAAAGUACUUUCACCGGGUAGGCGUUACUCGCAGAAGAAGCACCGGCUAACUCCGUGCCAGCAGCCGCGGUAAUAC
rnacentral:rRNA from 1 species